GAGAUGGACGAACAUACUCCGCGCCCUUGAUCGGGGUUUACCAUGGGACCCAGGUCCCCCAGUUCCUCAUCAGCACCAGCAACUACCUCUACCUCCUCUUCUCCACCGAUAAGAGUCACUCGGACAUCGGCUUCCAGCUCCGCUAUGAGACUAUAACCCUGCAGUCUGACCACUGUCUGGAUCCGGGGAUCCCCGUAAAUGGGCAGCGUCACGGAAAUGACUUCUAUGUGGGCGCUCUGGUGACUUUCAGCUGCGACUCGGGCUACACAUUAAGUGAUGGGGAGCCCCUGGAGUGUGAGCCCAACUUCCAGUGGAGCCGGGCCCUGCCCAGCUGUGAAGCCCUCUGCGGUGGCUUCAUUCAAGGCUCCAGCGGGACCAUCUUGUCACCAGGGUUCCCCGACUUUUACCCCAACAACUUGAACUGCACCUGGAUGAUCGAAAC